AUGCGAUCAUGAAUAUUUAUUUUUUCUAGUCAUGAAUAAGGCAUUAUUACCCAGUGGUAUAAAAAUUCAUAUCGUUGGUAAUCUAGACUCAUGGACUGUGGCAAAGACAACCAUGAUAGUUUAUAAGAGCCGAAGGGAUGUACUUCAAGCUCUUGAGACUGUGAACUGUCAACAUAUCCGAGUUGAGUGUUCUGGAAAACUGACUUAUUUAACGUAACUUGGAAAAGUGAUGUUCCUAUUCAGUUUUCUCACUAUGGCAAAUGCUGACAUUUUCUGGAGCCAAACAUUCCAAUGGCUAUCAUCAGGAUAUCUUUCUGCAGUGAAUUCUUCAAUUAGUCUCUUGAUCAAAGUCUCCCAUUCUUAGAAGACCAGAUAAAUCAUACUAUAUGGCAGAAGAUUAAAUACUGUGCAUUUAAGGUUACGCUCAACAGUGAGAAACUAUCAUUUCAGGAUUCCUAUUGUUAGUGCCCAUUAAUAAAAUAAUAACUUGAAAUCUCAGUAUCCAAACAGGGUGUGGUCCUUACACCUAAAUCCUAGCACUUAUGAGUCUGGGGCUAGAGGGAUGAUGUAAGAGGAAUGAUGUAAGAGGAAUGAUGUAAGAUUGAGCUUGGGCUACAGAGCAAGUUGAUCACAAACAACAAAACCCUUAUCUUAAUGUUAUGUUCCAUGAUAUAAACCCCCCACUCAAUGUAUAGCCCCAAGAAUCUGCUUAUUAAAAUAUUCUGCUUAAUAAAAUAUUAACCAGUGUUAUGAAAUGUAUUAGAGUCCUUUUUUUAAGUCUGAGUCCAUGAUAGUUUAAGAAAUAUUUCAGUUCCUGUGAUCUAAGAGAUAUUUCCCAAAGUUGUCCAAAUAUCAUAUUACAUGAGAAUUUUUUAAAUAAAUUACAUAUGUCAGAUUCUAGUUGCUCGAAAAUUUUAGUAGGCUUAGAGGAGGGUUUUGAGCAGUUGAGAGUCUAAGAGGUUGCUUGGGUUAGUGUGCUCAUGGCCCAUAGGGAAUCAUGAUGGUACCAGACACAAUUCCCAUCUCAGGCAAGGUAGAAUAGAAAGAGGCAAAUGGCAUGAACUCAUGGGCAAAAAUGUAUUAAUUAGUGAGGGAGUGGGAGAAGGAGGGAGGGAGGUUUAGAAAUAGGUCCUUUAUCUGAAUGUUUAUGUUGGCUGGGAUCUGAUAGUUUUCCAGUUCUUAUCAGCAUAAUGUUUUUAAUAUCAAUAAAAGCCAGUCCCUCAUAUUUUAAAGGUAGUUCUUCGUUGAAUAAGAUAAGUAUCAAUGCCUGUCUGUCCUAGAGACAUGAUGAGGCUAUGCUGAUCUGUUUGGUUUCUUCUCUAGGAUCAGAGUGGAGAAUAAAGAAGACAUACUCAAUAGACUGCUAACAAAGUUGAUUAGAGAGAUGUAUAGUUAGUGACUUAUAGGUGACAGGAGAGUAGCUAAGUACCUGGAAAUUAUCCUUUGUCCUUAUGAGGGUUUCUGUUUAAACCAUUACACACUUAGCUUACACACUAAGACAUAGGAUAUAUUUAACUUUGAAGCAACUGCAGAUUCUAAGUCAGCAGAGCUUUGUCACUCUACCAAUGGAUAGUUCAUCAGGUGGUUGGAUGUCCAACUUUUAAGGAAUCCAGCAAACAGAUUUCUGAUACAUCCACAUCAAACAUGGUUCCUCUAAGACACAAAACCAAGAGAACAUAUAGAUGUAUUCAUCAAAGCUGAAAAUCCCAAGAGCCAUGUGCAUACUGAGAAGUGGGGGGGGGGGGAGCGGCGUUGGUGGCUUCUCAGCUCAAGAUACAUCAGUGAGAGGGAGACCAAGGCUGCAGCCCCAGUCCAAGCACCAGGUCUGAGGCUCCCACCAUGAUGCUUGCUACUAGACUAAGUCUUCAUUCAAAAGUAGUCGGAUUCUCCUGACUGCCAAUGACAGAGAGAGAGAGAGAGAGAGAGAGAGAGAGAGAGAGAGAGAGAGGAAGA